rnacentral:rRNA from 1 species
AUGCAUGUCUAAGUUCAUAUUGCCUAUAAUGGUGAAACCGCGAACGGCUUAUUACAACAGCUAUUAUUUACUUGAUUUUGAUUCCAUACGUGGAUAACUGUGGCAAUUCUAGAGCUAAUACAUGCACCAAAGCUCCGACUAUCAUUUUGACGAGCGCAUCUAUUAGAUUAAAAACCAAUCGGGACUCAUUUGCAGUCUCGUCCAUUUGGUGACUCUGAAUAGCUUAGCUGAUCGCAUGGUCUUGUACCGGCGACGUAUCUAUCAAGUAUCUGCCUUAUCAACUUUCGAUGGUAGUUUAUGUGACUACCAUGGUUGUAACGGGUAACGGAGAAUAAGGGUUCGACUCCGGAGAGGGAGCCUGAGAAACGGCUACCACUUCCAAGGAAGGCAGCAGGCGCGCAAAUUACCCACUCUCAGCACAGAGGAGGUAGUGACGAAAAAUAACGAGACCGUACUCGAUGAGGCCGGUUAUCGGAAUGGGUACAAUUUAAACCCGUUAACGAGGAUCUAUGAGAGGGCAAGUCUGGUGCCAGCAGCCGCGGUAAUUCCAGCUCUCAAAGUGUAUAUCGGCAUUGCUGCGGUUAAAAAGCUCGUAGUUGGAUUUCAGCCUUACGACGUGGUCCAUUCAUUGAAUGCGAACUACGCCUCGUAGGCUAUUUUGAUGUUGGUUUUUCCUUACGUUGCUCUCAUCGGCUGCGUAAGGUGGCUAACGAGUUUACCUUGAAAAAAUUAGAGUGCUCAACGCGGGCUAACGCCUGAAUACUCGUGCAUGGAAUAAUGGAAUAGGAUCUCGGUUCUAUUUUGUUGGUUUUCUGAUCUGAGAUAAUGGUUAAGAGGGACAGACGGGGGCAUUCGUAUCGCUGCGUGAGAGGUGAAAUUCUUGGACCGUAGCGAGACGUCCCACUGCGAAAGCAUUUGCCAAGAAUG